rnacentral:rRNA from 1 species
UUGGCCUACGGGAGGCAGCAGUGGGGAAUAUUGCACAAUGGGGGAAACCCUGAUGCAGCGACGCCGCGUGAGUGAAGAAGUAUUUCGGUAUGUAAAGCUCUAUCAGCAGGGAAGAAAUACUGACCUUACGGUCAGCAGACGGUACCUGACUAAGAAGCCCCGGCUAACUACGUGCCAGCAGCCGCGGUAAUACGUAGGGAGCAAGCGUUAUCCGGAUUUACUGGGUGUAAAGGGCGUGUAGGCGGGCAUGCAAGCCAGAAGUGAAAUCUGGGGGCUUAACCCCCAAACUGCUUUUGGAACUGCGG